GAAAACAACAUGUUUGCUAUUUAUAAGGAAUUCCCUUGGGGAAACCAGCUUUAAAAAGGAGGAUAGGUUGUUGUGAGGAAAACUGGAUGUGAGUGGAUGGGGCCUCUUUAAAGGGGACAGUUUUCCAGUUUUGAAGAGACCUGUUGGGAUAAACACAUUCAAGAUAAUAGCGCUGGGACAGGACAAAAGCCACUUCAUUGUAAAAAUGCCUUCAACCUGAAACAUUCUGAUGGACCUGUGCACGAACAAUGGACACACACUGCCUAAUGUGGGAAAAUAUAAAAACACAUAAGAAGGCUGAGUGCCGAAGAACUGAUGCUUUUGAACUGUGGUGUUGGAUAAAACUCUUGAGAGUGCCUUGGACAGCAAGGAGACCAAACCAGUCCAUCUUAAAGGAAAUCAACCCCAAACAUUCACUGGAAGGACUGAUGCUGAAGCUCCAAUACUUUGGCCAUCUGAUGUGAAAAGCCAACUCAUUGGAAAAGACCCUGACUCUGGAAACACUGAGGGCAGGAAGAGAAGGGGUGACAGAAAAUGAGACGGUUGGAUGGCAUCACUGACUUAAUGGACAUAGUUUGAGCAAACUCUGGGAGAUAGUAAAGGACAGGGAAGCCUGACGUGCUGCAGUCCAUGGGGUCGCAAAGAUUAGGACAUGACUUAGCAACUGAGCUACUGUAAAACAACAAGAUAUGACACAACAAAGAAUGUAAAGAAAAAAAUUAAGGCUCUCAAAUAAAGAUAAAAUCAAGCAAUAAUAUGGGUAGUGGAAUACAAUAUUUUUAGUUUAAAAUCUUUAAUGUUAAUACCACAAUAGAAUGCCAGAUAACUUUUUAAAUUGAAGUAAAAUUGAUUUAUAAUAUUAUAUUAGUUUCAAGUACACAGC
ensembl:lncRNA